rfam:Arabis alpina cultivar Pajares chromosome 7, whole genome shotgun sequence.
AAUCCGUGAUGAGGACAAUCUCUCUGAUAUCCUUUGAACCUUUCCCACACAGCCUUGAACGCUUCUGUUGGACCCUGAAUGAACGUGGAGAUCUUAGCUCGUAGAUC